GACGUAGGGGGCCAGCGUUGUUCGGAAUUACUGGGUGUAAAGGGUUCGUAGGCGGUGCGGCAAGUCGGGAGUGAAAUCUCUGGGCUUAACCCAGAGGCUGCUUCCGAAACUGCUGUGCUUGAGUGUGGGAGAGGCGCGUGGAAUUGCAGGUGUAGCGGUGAAAUGCGUAGAUAUCAGGAGGAACACCGAUGGCGAAGGCAGCUCGCUGGGACGGUACUGACGCUGAGACGCGAAAGCGUGGGGAGCAAACAGG
rnacentral:rRNA from 1 species